CUUUUUGAUAAUCUAUGUCAGACCCUGUUUAUUAAGGUAUAUUCUAUUUUUUGAGUAAACCUAUUUUCUAUUUUUGAGUAAGCUUAUAUUACUGUAAAUUAUUGAACCCCUAUUUAAAGUGUACCUUUAAACUAUGUUUCUAUUAAGAUCACCUCUCUGGUAUAUGCUACUGGUGAAACAAAGAGAUGGGAACAAAAAGACCCUUAUUCUAUAGGCCUUGUUUAUGUCUUAAACCCAGACCACUUCCUUUAUUCGUAGAGUACAUAAAUCAUGAAUGACCAGUGGAUACACUUACUGGUACCCCUUUGUCUUGGGGAUAGGGAAUAGUGGGGUUGUUUGCCUGGUUUGGAAGACAGAUUGGCUUUCUCGUUGAGAGCAAGUUUAGACUUCAAGGCAGAUAGACGUGUGAUGUAACUUCCCCCAGAAGUUACUAUGUCGCAGCUUUUUAAGACCUGCCUUGAUUUUGUUUCUUAACAGAGUUCCACCAUGGUUCCACCAUGGUUCCACUUCCAUUUCCCUCGGGACAAGAGUUGGGACUGCUGUCGUUGUUCAGGCAACGCUCUCCGCCUGAUCGAUGUAUUUAGUACUUACUGACGAACGACUUGUGUUUUAUCAUUUGUACUUCAUAUGAACAUAUAUUCUUUUCUUCUAUUCCCUAAUAUGUUUCUACUGUACAGUGUAGUUUACUUUGCUUUUUUGCUAUCAUUUUUGUAAUAAACAUUGUAAAGCUUUGCAUGUAGCUGUUUUUGUAAGAAUUGUUUGUUUGAAAUCGAAAUGCCAGUUGUCACACUGGGAAUUUAUUAUCGGUGUACCUUUGACACUGAAUAUUAAUAAAUACCUCUUUGGAAUUAUCAUUGGCACAAAA
rnacentral:lncRNA from 1 species